rnacentral:rRNA from 1 species
AUUGAACGCUGGCGGCAUGCUUUACACAUGCAAGUCGAACGGUAACAGGCCUUCGGGCGCUGACGAGUGGCGAGCGGGUGAGUAAUGCAUCGGAACGUGCCCAGUCGUGGGGGAUAACUAUCCGAAAGGAUAGCUAAUACCGCAUACGAUCUGCGGAUGAAAGCGGGGGACCUUCGGGCCUCGCGCGAUUGGAGCGGCCGAUGUCAGAUUAGGUAGUUGGUGGGGUAAAGGCUCACCAAGCCAACGAUCUGUAGCUGGUCUGAGAGGACGACCAGCCACACUGGGACUGAGACACGGCCCAGACUCCUACGGGAGGCAGCAGUGGGGAAUUUUGGACAAUGGGCGCAAGCCUGAUCCAGCAAUGCCGCGUGCAGGAAGAAGGCCUUCGGGUUGUAAACUGCUUUUGUACGGAACGAAACGGCUCUGGUUAAUACCCGGGGCUAAUGACGGUACCGUAAGAAUAAGCACCGGCUAACUACGUGCCAGCAGCCGCAGUAAGAC